AUGGAGAUGAAACCCAAAAGAUUUUUGUUGGGGCGUAACCCUCUCAGCGACGCGCCACAUCGGAACCCGGGUGUGGUGGAAAAUGGGCAAGGGCCGGGCCGUCACCCCCCAAGUGGCGCGCCGUAUCUUGAUCCGGAUACGGUGGCAAGUGAGCGAGGAUCGGGUCGUCGCAUCCUUAGUGGCGCGCUACAUCGGCGCCCGGAUGUAGUGGAAAAUGAGCAAGGGUCUUCGCAUUUGACUCGACGAGUGCGAAGGGUAAGGAAGCUAGCCGAGCCUAGGAGGAUUCGCUUAGGUAGCUGGAACGUAGGGUCUCUGACAGGGAAGCUUCGGGAGCUAGUUGAUGCAGCAGUGAGGAGAGGUGUUGAUAUCCUUUGCGUCCAAGAAACCAAAUGGAGAGGACAGAAGGCGAAGGAGGUGGAGGAUACCGGCUUCAAGCUGUGGUACACAGGGACGGCUGCAAACAGAAAUGGCGUAGGCAUCUUGAUCAACAAGAGCCUCAAGUAUGGAGUGGUAGACGUCAGGAGACGUGGGGACCGGAUUAUCCUGGUCAAGCUGGUAGCUGAGGACUUGGUUCUCAAUGUUAUCAGCGCAUAUGCCCCGCAAGUAGGCCACAAUGAGAACACCAAGAGGGAGUUCUGGGAAGGCUUGGAAGACAUGGUUAGGAGUGUACCGAUUGGUGAGAAGCUCUUCAUAGGAGGAGACCUCAAUGGCCACGUGGGUACAUAUAACACAGGUUUUGAAGGGGCGCAUGGGGGCUUUGGCUAUGGCAUCAGGAAUCAAGAAGGAGAAGAUGUCUUAAGCUUUGCUCUAGCCUACAACAUGAUUGUAGCUAACACCCUCUUUAGAAAGAGAGAAUCACAUCUGGUGACUUUUAGUAGUGGCCAACACUCUAGCCAGAUUGAUUUCAUCCUCUCGAGAAGAGAAGAUAGGCGUGCGUGCCUAGACUGUAAGGUGAUACCUGGGGAGAGUGUUGUACCCCAGCAUAACCUGGUGGUUGCUGACUUCCGCUUUCGGAUUCGUGUCCAGCGGGAUAAGCGUGCCAAGGUCGCUAGAACGAAGUGGUGGAAGCUCAAGGGGGAGGUAGCUCAGGUGUUCAAGGAGAGGGUAUUUAAGGAGGGCCCUUGGGAGGAAGGAAGGGAUGCGGACAAUGUGUGGAUGAAGAUGGCGACUUGCAUUCGUAAGGUGGCCUCGGAGGAGUUUGGAGUGUCCAGGGGAAGGAGAAGCGAAGAUAAGGAUACCUGGUGGUGGAAUGAUGAUGUCCAGAAGGCGCUUAAAGAGAAGAAAGAUUGCUUCAGACGCCUAUACCUGGAUAGGAGUGCAGACAACAUAGAGAAGUACAAGAUGGCGAAGAAGGCCGCAAAGCGAGCUGUUGGUGAAGCAAGGGGUCGGGCAUAUGAGGACCUCUACCAACGGUUAGGCACGAAGGAAGGUGAAAGGGACAUCUAUAAGAUGGCUAAGAUCUGGGAGAGGAAGACAAGGGAUAUUGGCCAAGUAAAAUGCAUCAAGGACGGAGCAGGACAACUCUUGGUGAAGGACGAAGAGAUUAAGCAUAGAUGGCGGGAGUACUUCGACAAGAUGUUCAAUGGGGAGAAUGAGAGUUCUACCAUUGAACUGAAUGACUCCUUUGAUGAGACCAGCAUGCGUUUUGUGCGGCGCAUCCAGGAGUCUGAGGUGAAGGAGGCUUUAAAAAGUAUGAAAGGAGGCAAGGCGAUGGGCCCUGAUUGUAUCCCCAUUGAGGUGUGGAAAGGUCUCGGGGACAUAGCGAUAGUAUGGCUAACCAAGCUUUUCAACCUCAUUUUUCGGGCAAACAAGAUGCCAGAAGAAUGGAGACGGAGUAUAUUAGUACCAAUCUUCAAGAACAAGGGGGAUGUUCAGAGUUGUACUAAUUACCGUGGAAUUAAGCUGAUGAGCCAUACAAUGAAGCUAUGGGAGAGAGUCAUUGAGCACCGCUUAAGAAGAAUGACAAGCGUGACCAAAAAUCAGUUUGGUUUCAUGCCUGGGAGGUCGACCAUGGAAGCCAUUUUCUUGGUACGACAACUUAUGGAGAGAUAUAGGGAGCAUAAG
rnacentral:rRNA from 1 species